rnacentral:rRNA from 1 species
CAGCCGCCGCGGGAAAACAGAGGGUGCGAGCGUUAAUCGGAUUUACUGGGCGUAAAGCGUGCGUAGGCGGCUUUUUAAGUCGGAUGUGAAAUCCCUGAGCUUAACUUAGGAAUUGCAUUCGAUACUGGGAAGCUAGAGUAUGGGAGAGGAUGGUAGAAUUCCAGGUGUAGCGGUGAAAUGCGUAGAGAUCUGGAGGAAUACCGAUGGCGAAGGCAGCCAUCUGGCCUAAUACUGACGCUGAGGUACGAAAGCAUGGGGAGCAAACAGGAUUAGAGACCCCUGUAGUCCCUGUCUCUUAUAC